AAACAUGUUCUUUUGUUUAUAUAAAAGAUUUGACCUGCCCCAUGAUUAUUAUUUAAUGGCUGCAGUAUUUUGACUGUACAAAGGUAGCAUAAUCAUUUGUCUUUUAAUUGAAGUCUGGAAUGAAUGGUUUGAUGAAAAAUAUACUUUCUUUAUUUUAUAUUAAGAACUUAAUUUUUUAGUUAAAAAGCUAAAAUUUUUUUAUAGGACGAGAAGACCCUAUAGAGCUUUAUUUUUAAUUUUAUAUAUUUAAUAUAGAAUUUGUUUUGUUUAUAUAAAAGUUAGAUUUUGUUGGGGUGACAGAAAAAAUUUAAUAACUUUUUCUAUUUUUGUCACUAUCUAUGAAUUUUUGAUCCUUUUUUAGGGAUAAAAGAGUAAGUUACCUUAGGGAUAACAGCGUUAUUAUUUCGGAGAGUUCAUAUCGAUGAAAUAGUUUGCGACCUCGAUGUUGGAUUAUAAUAAGAUACAGGAGUAGAGUAUUGUAUUCUAGGUCUGUUCGACCUUUAAAUUUUUACAUGAUCUGAGUUCAAAAC
rnacentral:rRNA from 1 species